rnacentral:tRNA from 1 species
GGGAAGGUAGCUCAGCCCGGGAGAGCACUCGACUGAAGAUCGAGCUGUCGGGGGUUCAAAUCCCUCCCUUCCCA